GAUGAACGCUGGCGGCGUGCUUAACACAUGCAAGUCGAACGGGAAACCUUUUAAUGCAGCUUCGGCAGAUUUAGCUGGUUUCUAGUGGCGGACGGGUGAGUAACGCGUGGGUAACCUGCCUUAUACAGGGGGAUAACAGUCAGAAAUGACUGCUAAUACCGCAUAAGCGCACAGGACCGCAUGGUCCGGUGUGAAAAACUCCGGUGGUAUAAGAUGGACCCGCGUUGGAUUAGCUUGUUGGUGGGGUAACGGCUCACCAAGGCGACGAUCCAUAGCCGGCCUGAGAGGGUGAACGGCCACAUUGGGACUGAGACACAGCCCAGACUCCUACGGGAGGCAGCAGUGGGGAAUAUUGCACAAUGGGGGAAACCCUGAUGCAGCGACGCCGCGUGAAGGAAGAAGUAUCUCGGUAUGUAAACUUCUAUCAGCAGGGAAGAUAGUGACGGUACCUGACUAAGAAGCCCCGGCUAACUACGUG
rnacentral:rRNA from 1 species